rnacentral:rRNA from 1 species
UACGUAGGGGGCAAGCGUUGUCCGGAUUUAUUGGGCGUAAAGAGCGUGUAGGCGGUUUGGUAGGUCCGCUGUGAAAACUCGAGGCUUAACCUCGAGCUGUCGGCGGAAACCAUCUGGCUAGAGUCCGGAAGAGGAGAAUGGAAUUCCCGGUGUAGCGGUGAAAUGCGCAGAUAUCGGGAAGAACACCCGUGGCGAAGGCGGUUCUCUGGGACGGUACUGACGCUGAGACGCGAAAGCGUGGGGAGCGAACAGG